rnacentral:miRNA from 1 species
UAUCACAGCCGUGCUUAAGGGCUU